UUUGUUUGUUUGUUUGUUUGUUUGUUUUUGUUUUCCCCUCUCUUCUCUCAAGUUGGUGCUGACUACGCACCCACCCUUCUUAUCAUCAUCCUGGUAUGAGAUUGGGCUGGGCCCCUGUCCUCAAUGCCAGUGAAGGGGCAUUCAAUGUGCAUGCACUGUCUCCCCCCCAGGCAGGAGAAAAAGGAAAAACAAAAAAGAUCACACUCACAAACACAUUAGUCAAGUCACAGUAAAUUAGGGUUUCUGGAAACAGAUACAAAAAAUAAAUUAAUCAUUAUAUACAUAAACAUAUAUUAAUGAAGUAAUAAAGUAAUAAAUAUGUUUCUUUUUUCAGACAAAUGAUCCAGUGAACGAUGCACGUUGAAACAUUCAAACGGGAUAUUCUUAUGCAAAGGGAGAGACAGACAGAAAGUCAGACGGAGCUGGCAUUGCAGUGCCGGGGCAACAAUGAUUUAUCAUUCAUCCAUACGUAACGAAUGAAGACACCAACAACCAUCCAAAAUGGGGAUGGAUGGGAUAAUGCAGUUGGACGGGGAAUUCGGCGACAGGAGGGGAGGCACAUGGAGCGGAGACAGACACAGAAGGUCUGACGACGACGACGACGACGAUGGGAAAUCUGGCAGCAGCAACAACAACAACACACAGCCAAAGAGAUUUCGACGACGACGACGACGACGACGAGGAGGCCCAACCUCACACCUGACACACACACACACACACACACACACACAAUUGCAGCGUCAGGCGCGGCGAUGCGAUGCCAAGGCAAAGCGAUGCGAAGUGAAGUGAAGUAAAGUGAAGUGAAGCGAGGGGGAAGUGAAUUGAACGGCGCGACCAAGGGAGGGAGGGAGA
rnacentral:lncRNA from 1 species